GGUCCCGUAGCUCAGCAGGAUAGAGCAGCGCUUUCCUAAAGCGUAGGUCGGCCGUUCGAAUCGGCCCGGGACCA
rnacentral:tRNA from 1 species